UCUUGUGGAUUAGGCACAAGAUCUGGAGUCAGAAGGUCUGGCUUUAUUCCUGGCUCUGCCACGGACUUCCUGUGAGACCUGGGGCAAGUGACUGGAAGGGCCGACGUCGGGGCUUCUAAAUUUUGUUGCUCCGGGUCCAGCAGUUUUUCUCCUGCGGCUGUGGCACCAUCAAGAGGCUGGAGAUUCUGGAGGCCAUGGAGAGAGCAGAGGAAGAAAGAAGAGAGAACGUAAGAUCGGCAUGAGCAAGAGAGUGAUGGUCAAGAGGGAAUGGGGAUGAUGCUGGAAAAGAGCAGGACAGGACAGGAGAUGUUAUUUUACAAAGAAACUGAAAAGGCCAGAGAAGGAGGGAGACUUUUAAAAAAACACACCAGAAAAUAAAAUGAAAUUAAAAGAAGGACAUGGAGAUGGAUAGAGCAAGUCAGAGGUGGAAGAAGAUACAAAUGGGAUACAGAAAUGGGAGAAGGCAGGAAAAGCAAGGAGAGAUACAUGCUGCUUUUAGCUCAUCUGCUACAGUGUGACAUGGUCACUCACGCUUGGACAGGUCUGACACUUCAUCCAGUACUGGGCAAUGGUACACAUACACAAGUCGGUGCAGCUUCAAACAAAUCGAAGCGAGGAUUUAUGUCAAGACAAAUAACAAUUGGCAGUUAACAACACAAAAGAAGCACGUUCACUAAACAAGACCUAAACCACAAUUGUUAUC